rnacentral:lncRNA from 1 species
UUGCCUGUGGCAGCAGGAGCUUGGCCCUCUCCAGCUUUCUUUCUAGCUCCUUUACAUUGAGCUGGAUCUCCGACUUUUCAGAUUCUACAAGUCGAAGUUUCUCUUGUAGUUUGACAUUUUUCUCCUUCAGCUCCUCAUCGAUUAUGCUAUGGCCAGAGACAGUAGAGAAAGGAAUGAACGAAGAACAGAAAGGAACGCUUUGGUGACCAACCCUCUGCUUUCACCCCACAACCACAGAACCGUGGCAUCGGAUGGGACCCCAGGAAUUAAAAGUCCCAGGUGGCAGGCCAGAGAGAAGAUAUGAGUUGCCUGAGGCUACCCCAAAGAGGAAGACAGAGCUCUUACCAGGGGGAGGCAGAGAUGGCACAGCAAGGGACAUGCCGCCAGAAUGGCACCACUGCCCCAGGACAGGCCCACCCAUGGGACCAGCAGAUGGAGAGGAUUCAAACCCAGAAUUCUUAACCAGUGCCUGGGAGAUCUUCCACAAUCUUAACAAUUACCCUCCACCACCCCUUGGGCCCUCUGUCCCCAGGAGCCUGGCCAGCCAAGACUCACAUCCUCAGGUCCCACAGUCCCCAAUCCCCUUCCAGCUGGAAACCUGUGCUAUAACCAGAGGAACCAGAAAUGGGCAAGAACACUCAGGGGACUGGGUCCUAAGACCAAAGACCAGUCUCGUGGCAGUAAUGACAGUUCCUAGAGGGACUGUGACAUCACUACAUUCCACUCCUCAGUGGAGUGGUGGGGAGGAC